rnacentral:rRNA from 1 species
GAUGAACGCUGGCGGCGUGCCUAAUACAUGCAAGUCGAGCGAACAGACGAGGAGCUUGCUCCUUUGACGUUAGCGGCGGACGGGUGAGUAACACGUAGGUAACCUACCUAUAAGACUGGGAUAACUUCGGGAAACCGGAGCUAAUACCGGAUAAUAUUUCGAACCGCAUGGUUCGAUAGUGAAAGAUGGCUUUGCUAUCACUUAUAGAUGGACCUGCGCCGUAUUAGCUAGUUGGUAAGGUAACGGCUUACCAAGGCAACGAUACGUAGCCGACCUGAGAGGGUGAUCGGCCACACUGGAACUGAGACACGGUCCAGACUCCUACGGGAGGCAGCAGUAGGGAAUCUUCCGCAAUGGGCGGAAGCCUGACGGAGCAACGCCGCGUGAGUGAUGAAGGUCUUCGGAUCGUAAAACUCUGUUAUUAGGGAAGAACAAACGUGUAAGUAACUGUGGACGUCUUGACGGUACCUAAUCAGAAAGCCACGGCUAACUACGUG